ACAGUCAGAGGCAGGGAGUCGAGGGCAGAGGCAGCAGGCGGAGAGAGGGAGAUAGGGCGAGGGAAGGAGAACGCGGAGAGAGACGAAGGGAGUGGGAGACCAGCGACAGCGAGCGCCAGGGCACCGCAGGCACACUGGAUGCCCAGUCCGCCGGCCCAGCCGCCCUCGGACCCUGGACCGUGCGUCGUGGGCACCAGAAACGAGACUCGGCCAAAUCCUGCCUCACCAGGUAGAUGAAACUCAAGAGA
rnacentral:lncRNA from 1 species